rnacentral:rRNA from 1 species
CCUACGGGUGGCAGCAGUGAGGAAUAUUGGUCAAUGGUCGGGAGCCUGAACCAGCGAAGCCGCGUGAGUGAUGAAGGUACAGAGUAUCGUAAACCCCUUUUGCCAGGGAACAAAGGCGGGGACGUGUCCCCGGAUGAGCGUACCUGAAGAAAAAGCAUCGGCUAACUCCGUGCCAGCAGCCGCGGUAAUACAGAGGAUGCGAGCGUUAUCCGGAUUUAUUGGGUGUAAAGGGCGUGUAGGCGGGACUGCAAGUCAGAUGUGAAAACCACGGGCUCAACCUGUGGCCUGCAUUUGAAACUGUAGUUCGUGAGUACUGGAGAGGCAGACGGAAUUCCUAGUGUAGCGGUGAAAUGCGUAGAUAUUAGGAGGAACACCAGUGGCGAAGGCGGUCUGCUGGACAGCAACUGACGCUGAGGCGCGAAAGCGUGGGGAGCAAACAGGAUUAGAUACCCCGGUAGUC